rnacentral:rRNA from 3 species
ACACUAUACAGUGGAUCAUUUGGCUCGGGGGUCGAUGAAGAACGGAGCUAACUCUGUGAUGCCGUGUGAACU